rnacentral:rRNA from 1 species
AGUGAACGCUGGCGGUAGGCCUAACACAUGCAAGUCGAACGGCAGCACAGUAAGAGCUUGCUCUUACGGGUGGCGAGUGGCGGACGGGUGAGGAAUACAUCGGAAUCUACUUUUUCGUGGGGGAUAACGUAGGGAAACUUACGCUAAUACCGCAUACGACCUACGGGUGAAAGCAGGGGAUCUUCGGACCUUGCGCGAUUGAAUGAGCCGAUGUCGGAUUAGCUAGUUGGCGGGGUAAAGGCCCACCAAGGCGACGAUCUGUAGCUGGUCUGAGAGGAUGAUCAGCCACACUGGAACUGAGACACGGUCCAGACUCCUACGGGAGGCAGCAGUGGGGAAUAUUGGACAAUGGGCGCAAGCCUGAUCCAGCCAUACCGCGUGGGUGAAGAAGGCCUUCGGGUUGUAAAGCCCUUUUGUUGGGAAAGAAAAGUAGCAGGUUAAUACCCCGCUGUUCUGACGGUACCCAAAGAAUAAGCACCGGCUAACUUCGUG